rnacentral:rRNA from 1 species
UUUGAUCCUGGCUCAGAACGAACGCUGGCGGCGUGCCUAACACAUGCAAGUCGAGCGCGAAUGGAGCAAUCCUAGUAGAGCGGCGCACGGGUGCGUAACACGUGGAUAAUCUGCCUGGGUGUCUGGGAUAACCAGUCGAAAGAUUGGCUAAUACCGGAUAAGCCCCCGGGAGCUUCGGCUCUUGAGGGAAAAGGUGGCCUCUGUAUACAAGCUAUCACAUCCAGAUGAGUCCGCGGCCCAUCAGCUAGUUGGCGGGGUAAUGGCCCACCAAGGCAACGACGGGUAGCUGGUCUGAGAGGACGAUCAGCCACACUGGAACUGAGACACGGUCCAGACUCCUACGGGAGGCAGCAGUGGGGAAUUUUGCGCAAUGGGCGAAAGCCUGACGCAGCAACGCCGCGUGUGUGAUGAAGGUCUUUGGAUUGUAAAGCACUUUCGACCGGGACGAAAACCCGUUGGCUAACAUCCAACGGCUUGACGGUACCGGGAGAAGAAGCACCGGCUAACUCUGUGCCAGCAGCCGCGGUAAUACAGAGGGUGCAAGCGUUGUUCGGAAUUAUUGGGCGUAAAGCGCGUGUAGGCGGCUUUGCAAGUCGGAUGUGAAAGCCCUCGGCUCAACCGAGGAAGUGCGUUCGAAACUGCAGAGCUUGAGUACCGGAGAGGGUGGCGGAAUUCCCCAAGUAGAGGUGAAAUUCGUAGAUAUGGGGAGGAACACCGGUGGCGAAGGCGGCCACCUGGACGGUCACUGACGCUGAGACGCGAAAGCGUGGGUAGCAAACAGGAUUAGAUACCGUGGUAGUCCACGCCGUAAACGAUGAGAACUAGGUGUCAUGGGUGUUGACCCCCGCGGUGCCGUAGCUAACGCAUUAAGAACUCCGCCUGGGAAGUACGGUCGCAAGACUAAAACUCAAAGGAA